rnacentral:rRNA from 1 species
GAUGAACGCUGGCGGCGUGCUUAACACAUGCAAGUCGAACGAAGCACUUUUACAGAUUUCUUCGGAUUGAAAUUUUAGUGACUGAGUGGCGGACGGGUGAGUAACGCGUGGGUAACCUGCCUCACACAGGGGGAUAACAGUUGGAAACGGCUGCUAAUACCGCAUAAGCGCACAGUACCGCAUGGUACGGUGUGAAAAACUCCGGUGGUGUGAGAUGGACCCGCGUCUGAUUAGCUAGUUGGCAGGGCAACGGCCUACCAAGGCGACGAUCAGUAGCCGACCUGAGAGGGUGAGCGGCCACAUUGGGACUGAGACACGGCCCAAACUCCUACGGGAGGCAGCAGUGGGGAAUAUUGCACAAUGGGGGAAACCCUGAUGCAGCGACGCCGCGUGAGCGAAGAAGUAUUUCGGUAUGUAAAGCUCUAUCAGCAGGGAAGAAGAAAUGACGGUACCUGACUAAGAAGCACCGGCUAAAUACGUGCCAGCCGCCGCGGUAA